UUACGAACACCUGACCUGCAGUGCAGCAGAAUUCAGAGAGAUGUAACUUAACGUACUCCAGAGACGCACUAACUUGCACAGCAUUGAAUGGAAAAGGCUUUUUCCAUGUCCAGUUGAGGGCAUCAAGAACACGCAGAUGGCCUAAACCUGUGUCAGACUGGACAGACUGCUGAUCUGCUACUC